GAGUCGGCCAGGCAAUCGCUGCACGUUUCACGUGUGGAGGAAAGUCCGGGCUCCAUAGGGCAGGGUGCCAGGUAACGCCUGGGCGGCGUGAGCCGACGGCCAGUGCAACAGAAAACAAACCGCCGAUGGCCCACUUCGGUGGUGCACAGGUAAGGGUGAAACGGUGCGGUAAGAGCGCACCGCGCAACCGGCAACGGAAGCGGCACGGUAAACCCCACCCGGAGCAAGGCCAAAUAGGGGAACCAUAGGCGUGGCCCGCGCUGUUCCCGGGUAGGCUGCUUGAGGUCCGUGGCGACGCGGAUCCCAGAUGAAUGAUUGCCCUCGACAGAACCCGGCUUAUCGGCCGACUCC
rnacentral:RNase_P_RNA from 1 species